UACGUAGGUGGCAAGCGUUGUCCGGAUUUACUGGGCGUAAAGAGCGCGCAGGCGGUCGAUCAAGUCGCGUGUGAAAGCCCCCGGCUCAACUGGGGAGGGUCACGCGAUACUGAUCGACUCGAAGGCAGGAGAGGGUAGUGGAAUUCCCGGUGUAGUGGUGAAAUGCGUAGAUAUCGGGAGGAACACCAGUGGCGAAGGCGACUACCUGUCCUGUUCUUGACGCUGAGGCGCGAAAGCUAGGGGAGCAAACGGG
rnacentral:rRNA from 1 species